UUCCGCGUACCGGCACAAACUGGACGCGAGUCCCUGACGCAGCGUCCUGGGGCACUGAGGGUGGCGGCCUAGUCUUUGUAACCAGAGCUCCGCAUUCUCCGCGUUCUCGCUGCUGCCGCCUUCCGGGACGAUGGUGGUCGGCCUGCUGCUGCGCGCCUGGCCCCGGGGCCUUGCCUUUGGCCCGGGAGCCCUCAGUCGGCUCCUAAGCACAGGCUUCGACCCGGGCCAGUACCUGCAGCUGAGCAUCGUGCCCACUAUGCACUACCAGGACAGUCUGCCCAGGCUGCCUAUUCCCAAACUUGAAGACACCAUUAGGAGAUACCUCAGUGCGCAGAAGCCUCUCUUGGAUGAUGGCCAGUUCAGGAAAACGGAACAAUUGUGUAAGAGUUUUGAAAAUGGGAUUGGAAAAGAACUGCACAAGCAGCUGGUCGCUCAGGACAAGCAGAAUAAACAUACGAGCUACAUUUCAGGUCCCUGGUUUGAUAUGUACUUAACUGCUCGAGACCCAAUUGUCCUGAACUUUAAUCCAUUUAUGUCAUUCAACCCUGACCCAAAGUCCGAGUACAACGACCAGCUCACCCGGGCAACCAACAUGACUGUCUCUGCCGUCCGGUUUCUGAAGACACUUCGGGCUGACCUUUUGGAACCAGAAGUGUUCCACUUGAACCCUGCCAAAAGUGACACUGAUACCUUCAAGAGACUCAUACGCUUUGUGCCUUCCUCUCUGUCCUGGUAUGGUGCCUACUUGGUCAAUGCAUAUCCCCUGGAUAUGUCCCAGUAUUUUCGGCUUUUCAAUUCCACUCGUUUACCCAAACCCAGUCGAGAUGAACUCUUCACUGAUGACAAGGCCAGACACCUCCUGGUCCUAAGAAAAGGACACUUCUAUGUCUUUGAUGUCCUGGAUCAAGAUGGGAACAUUGUGAGCGCCUCAGAAAUCCAGGCUCAUCUGAAGUACAUUCUCUCAGACAGUAGCCUGGCCCCCGAGUUUCCACUGUCAUAUCUGACCAGUGAGAACCGGGACAUCUGGGCAGAGCUCAGACAGAAGCUGGUGAGUGGUGGCAACGAGGAGACCCUGAGGAAAGUGGACUCUGCUGUAUUCUGUCUCUGCCUAGAUGACUUCCCCAUUAAGGACCUUGUCCACUUGUCCCACAACAUGCUGCACGGGGACGGCACAAACCGCUGGUUUGAUAAAUCCUUUAACCUCAUUAUAGCCAAGGAUGGCACUGCUGCUAUCCACUUUGAGCAUGCUUGGGGCGAUGGUGUUGCAGUGCUCAGGUUUUUUAAUGAAGUGUUUAAAGACAGCACUCAGGCCCCUGCCAUCACUCCACGGAGCCAGCCAGCUAACACUGACUCUUCUGUCGCCGUACAAAAACUCAACUUCAAGCUGAACGAUGCUUUAAAGACUGGCAUUAGCGCUGCUAAGGAAAAAUUUGACGCCACCAUGAAAACCCUCACCAUUGACUACAUCCAGUUUCAGAGAGGAGGCAAAGAAUUCCUGAAGAAGCAGAAGCUGAGCCCUGACUCAGUGGCUCAGCUGGCCUUCCAGAUGGCCCUCCUGCAACAGUACGGGCAGACAGUGGCCACCUAUGAGUCCUGUAGCACUGCAGCAUUCAAGCACGGCCGCACCGAGACCAUCCGCCCGGCCUCCAUCUUCACAAAGAGGUGCUCUGAGGCCUUUGUCAGGGAGCCCUCCAAGCACAGCGCUGGAGAGCUUCAGCACAUGAUAGCCAAGUGCUCCACGCACCACAACCAGCUGACCAAAGAAGCCGCGAUGGGUGAGACAGGGUUUGGGGAGCACGCCCUUAGGUCUUGUUGCCCUCGGCACUGGGGCCAGGGCUUUGAUCGACACUUGUUUGCUCUGCGGUACCUGGGAGCAGCCAAAGGGAUUGACCUGCCCGAGCUAUACCUGGACCCUGCAUAUAGGCAGAUAAACCACAACAUCCUGUCCACGAGCACGUUGAGCAGCCCAGCAGUGAACAUUGGCGGCUUUGCCCCCGUGGUCCCUGAUGGUUUUGGCAUUGCGUAUGCUGUUCAUGACAACUGGAUAGGCUGCAACGUCUCUGCCUACCAAGGCCGCAAUGCCCACGAGUUUCUCCAGUGUGUGGAGAAGGCCUUAGAAGGCAUGUUUGAUGCCUUAGAAGGCAAAGCCAUCAAAUCUUAACUUCUGGGUGGAUGAAAAGCCUCUAUUCCUUCAUCAACAUGAAAAUUGGGGCCUCUGUAACCAGUAGACACUGCUCUGUGACUAAUGAAACUAAUUGUGAGGCGCCUGAGCACCAGUGCUAUAAGGUGUGAGCUUUAAAACCGUGGUUUUACAGCUAAACAUGUAACUUCCAAGUGGAGCUACAUCACAACUAAAGAUAAUGUGAGAUUUCAAUUUUAAGGACAUUUGAUCAGGAGCAGCUCCCAUGUGGAGUUUCCCACGGUGCUUCGGGAAGCCAGCAAGCUCUGUCCUAGUGGCUCUUUUCCAUGACUCCUGAACAAGUAUGGCACAUCUCCAGAUCCACAGUCACACCAGCCUCUCUGGAAGUUAUCUGCUACUCUUUGAGGUGCCUCCAGGAUCCCCAGGAAACUGCCAGGAUAUUCUCCAAAGCGGUUGCACCAUUUUACAUUCCCACCAGCAGAGUGUGAAUGUUCCAGCUUCUCCACAUCUCACCAACACUUGUUUUCAUCUAUUUGGAUUAUAGCCAUUCUGAUGAGUGUGAAGUGGUAUCUCAUUGUGGGUUUUAUUAGCGUAUGUUUUAAAUUAGACCACCUCGAACAUAUUUUCCAAAUCUAGUGACACCUAUCCAAUUAUCUUCAUGUGACAGAAUAAGUGACAAAAAAGGAAUGGGAGCCAGGAUUGGAGGAGGUGGACAUGAGACAGUGGGGUAGGUGCUGAAAGGGAGAGAGUUUAGGGUGUUUCAGGAGACACAACUGGGGCUUGAUAAACAAAGAGAUGCAGGGAGCCUCCAGCAGAGAAUAGAGCUCGGGGGACUGCUUGAGCAGAAUUGGUUACAAGUAUAUCUUCUUUCUGGGAAUCUUCCAUUGUAAAGAAGACAGGGCCACUGAAUAAGCAGAAUCACAUUUGGUAUUUAUGAUAUUAAGUGGAAAACAGUUAAAUAUAAUCUUAAUGCUGCUAGGAUUAUAGCCAUAUGAAAACAUGUCUGUGUGUAGAUAGGCCCUGAAAGAGAACAGGGGAAAAUAAACACACUUCUGUUAGGGAGCUAGGAUGGUGGGGUUUAAGAAAAUGUUUAUUUCUUUUUCUGUUUUUCUUUAUUGAUAUCAUACUGUUUGUGCAACACCAGGUUGUUAGGCAGGAACCAAAAAAAAUACACGUUAGCAGCCCCCACUUCCUUACCAGCCGUCCUCAUGCCUCGUGCUUCAGCCACACUAAGCCUCCCACUGGUCUCAGACAUGUCUGAGCUUCACUGUGACUCUGUACCUUGCAAAUGCCAUCCUCCAUCCUCAGAAUGCCCUUGGCUCCAGCACAUCCUCUGCCAAAUUAGUCCUUGUUCUUUUUAGCCCAGCUCAAAUGUCCCCUCCCAUGAAGCCACGCUCAUGGGGUCUCCCCGGAAGAAUGCGUCAUCCCUUCCUCCAUAUUCCGCUACUCCCAGCUUUGGCUUCUGUUUCGGCCAGCGAGGGGCCUGACACAUAAUGUGUUAUUUCUGGAGACUGCAUUGUUCCCUCCCGGCACCCACACCUUUGCAAGGUGACUUUGUAGCGCCUCCUGUCAAGAGGCGGAGCCUAUUUUUCCCCUCCUAACUGGCCUCUAGACUCCACUCAUUCCCUCCAGUCCAUUCUCCUCACUGUAGCCAGUGGUUUUUUUCAUGUACAAGUCUGAUCAUAUCCCUGCUUAAAAUUCCUCAGUCGUUUUCCAUUAACUUGGAAAACAGUCCAUACUCCUCAGUGUGACAGUUGUGGCCUUGAUGGAGCUGGCCCUGCUCAUCUUUUCAGACCCACCUCUCUUAACAGCUUACCCUGAGGAAGUUGCCUCUACUUGGAGCAUAAGCCCCUCUCCACCCUUUCAGCUAUCUUCUGCUCAACCUUCAGGUUUCAGAUAGACUGCACCUCCUCUCACCCCACCCCUCUGAGGCUGAGUUAGUUGGUGCCCCUCCUGUGUAUGCCCAGAGCAUCCUGACAAUCUAACCUUUAUCGCAGUGCUUUUCAGUUUCUGCAGCUGUCUCCGUUACUAGGUUGUGGCUCUAUUCCCUGUGCUGUACAAUAUGUCCUUGUAGCUUAUUUUAUACAUACUAAUCCCCUACCCCUAUCUUGUCCUUCCCCCUUUCCCUCUCCCCA